AUGGAAGAUGGUCCUGUUUUCUAUGGCUUUAAAAACAUUUUUAUUACAAUGUUUGCUACCUUUUUUUUCUUUAAGCUUUUAAUUAAAGUUUUUUUGGCUCUCCUAACCCAUUUCUAUAUCGUCAAAGGAAAUAGAAAAGAAGCGGCUAGGAUAGCAGAAGAGAUCUAUGGUGGAAUUUCAGAUUGCUGGGCUGAUCGAUCCCCACUUCAUGAAGCUGCAGCUCAGGGGCGCUUACUGGCCCUUAAAACUUUAAUUGCACAAGGUGUCAAUGUGAACCUCGUGACAAUUAACCGGGUGUCUUCUCUCCACGAGGCAUGCCUUGGAGGUCACGUGGCCUGUGCCAAAGCCUUAUUGGAAAAUGGUGCACACGUCAAUGGAGUGACAGUUCACGGAGCCACGCCCCUCUUCAAUGCUUGCUGCAGCGGCAGUGCUGCAUGUGUCAAUGUGCUGCUGGAGUUCGGAGCCAAGGCCCAGUUUGAGGUGCACCUGGCCUCGCCCAUCCAUGAGGCAGUGAAGAGAGGUCACAGAGAGUGCAUGGAGAUCCUGCUGGCAAAUAAUGUUAACAUUGACCAUGAGGUGCCUCAGCUUGGAACUCCCCUGUAUGUGGCGUGCACCUACCAGAGGGUAGACUGUGUGAAGAAACUUCUAGAAUUAGGAGCCAGUGUCGACCAUGGCCAGUGGCUGGACACCCCACUCCAUGCUGCAGCAAGGCAGUCCAACGUGGAGGUCAUCCACCUGCUAACCGACUACGGAGCUAACCUGAAGCGUAGAAAUGCUCAGGGCAAAAGUGCGCUUGAUCUGGCGGCUCCAAAAAGCAGCGUGGAGCAGGCGCUCUUGCUCCGUGAAGGCCCACCUGCUCUUUCCCAGCUCUGCCGCCUGUGUGUCCGGAAGUGUCUCGGUCGAGCAUGUCAUCAAGCCAUCCACAAGCUACGUCUGCCGGAGCCACUUGAACGAUUCCUCCUAUACCAAUAGUCCUAAGUGUCCCUGGGAAGAUACUUGGAAUGACACAGAUUGUUGUCUGCUGUACCUAGAGUACCUAGUGUGGAAGCUCAACAGCUAGACUCUUAGUAUCUUCAGAUGAGCUCAGUUGAAGUAAAUCCCCCAUGAGCUAGAACACUUGAGGAGUGGAAACUCCUGGUUAGUGUAAUGUUCUUAUUAACCAAGAGGCAACUAGAAACCGUUUAGCUUUUAGCUCUUGUUGUUAAAGAAACUUAAAAAAACUGUGAAGUAGAGUGAAAACAAUAGGCUAUUUUUUGAUGAUUCAGGAUCUUCUUGUACCUAAAAGUCAACAUUCUGAAUAUUGUAUAGACACAUAUAAAUUCAGGUGGAUAAGAUUAUAACAAGUGUUAGGUAUUCCAAGAUAUGUUCUUGAUUCAGUUCUUCCCUUCAGCCCUUCCCCACUUUUUUCUCUUUCCUUGAAUUAAUCUGCUAUAAUUUUGAUUUUUUUUGUGUAUAUAUAUAUAUACACACAUGCACACAUAUAUUUAAUGUUUUCAAAGUCCUUAAUAUAUGUAUAAAGCUUAUAUAUAUGUUUUCAAAAUUCUUUAUAUAUGAAGUUAUAUAUAUUUAUGUAGACUUUAUAUAUAUACAUAUACAAAGUUAAGGACUUCAAAAACAUUGUGUAGUUAGCUGAGGCUUCCAAUGAUCGAGGUCCUGGUUGAUAAGAGAGACUCUGGAAGAGAUCAGUGCACCCAGAGUUUGGCAUCUCAUUGCUUCUGAUAUGAAAUGCUGUUAUUUGAAGUAAGCAGUUCUAGGAUUGAGAACACUGGGUGUCCCCAACAACCUGAACCGACAGUCAUUGUCUGAGGCAUGUUGUAACCCAAGCACUGCCUUAUUUUCAAAGUCAAGAUCCUCAGGGUUUUUGAAAUAAUUACAUAUUGAUGCCAGCCACCAAAGUGGGCUCAAUGCUGUGUCAAUAUUUUUUUCUGUGGAUAGGGGCCCAAAAUAAGCACAAAGGUAUAUAAAAAGAGGCUUCUCCUUUUCUGUCUUCUCCUUCUUCUCAUUUCUCUCUCCUUCUGCCACCCCUCCUCUUCCUCUCUUCUUUCUCCUUUUUGUGAAUUUAGAGCAUGGGAACUGGAUAGACUUUUAAUUGUUAUAAGUAUUACUGUCAUGGUUCAGUGUUUGGUUCUAAAAUGAAAAUUUCCUCUCAGAUCAUCCUAAGACUCAUUUCACACAUGUAUUUUUUCCCUAAUUUUUCUAGACCUUUGGCUCUCAACUGGAGACAAUUUUGCCCCACUACCACGAAGACAUUUGUCAAUGUCUGCAGACAUGUUCAGUUGCAACAACUGGGGGAGAAUUGCUACUGUCAUCUAGAGGGUGGAGACCAGAGAUGCAGCUAAUCACGCACAGUGCACAGGAGCCCGCAACAAAGAAUUAUCAAGUCUGGCCGGGCACAGUGGCUCACGCCUGUAAUCCUAGCAAUUUGGGAGGCCGAAGCAGGCAGAUCACAAGGUGGAUCAAAUUCUUCUAUGAGAGAUGUGACAAGAAAAACUGAAGAGUGUUUGCAAACCUUGGGAAAGUCAAUUUUCACA